CGGAGGAUUCAAGCGUUAUCCGGAUUUAUUGGGUUUAAAGGGUGCGUAGGCGGUUUGAUAAGUUAGAGGUGAAAUUUCGGGGCUCAACCCUGAACGUGCCUCUAAUACUGUUGAGCUAGAGAGUAGUUGCGGUAGGCGGAAUGUAUGGUGUAGCGGUGAAAUGCUUAGAGAUCAUACAGAACACCGAUUGCGAAGGCAGCUUACCAAACUAUAUCUGACGUUGAGGCACGAAAGCGUGGGGAGCAA
rnacentral:rRNA from 1 species